UUGCGGGGGUGAUUAGUGGCGAACGGGUGAGUAAUACGUGAGUAACCUGCCCUUGACUCUGGGAUAAGCCUGGGAAACCGGGUCUAAUACUGGAUACUACUCCUUGUCGCAUGGUGGGGGGUGGAAAGGGUUUUACUGGUUUUGGAUGGGCUCACGGCCUAUCAGCUUGUUGGUGGGGUAAUGGCUCACCAAGGCGACGACGGGUAGCCGGCCUGAGAGGGUGACCGGCCACACUGGGACUGAGACACGGCCCAGACUCCUACGGGAGGCAGCAGUGGGGAAUAUUGCACAAUGGGCGGAAGCCUGAUGCAGCGACGCCGCGUGAGGGAUGACGGCCUUCGGGUUGUAAACCUCUUUCAGCAGGGAAGAAGCCACAAGUGACGGUACCUGCAGAAGAAGCGCCGGCUAACUACGUGCCAGCAGCCGCGGUAAUACGUAGGGCGCAAGCGUUGUCCGGAAUUAUUGGGCGUAAAGAGCUCGUAGGCGGUUUGUCGCGUCUGCUGUGAAAGCCCGGGGCUCAACCCCGGGUCUGCAGUGGGUACGGGCAGACUAGAGUGCAGUAGGGGAGACUGGAAUUCCUGGUGUAGCGGUGAAAUGCGCAGAUAUCAGGAGGAACACCGAUGGCGAAGGCAGGUCUCUGGGCUGUUACUGACGCUGAGGAGCGAAAGCAUGGGGAGCGAACAGGAUUAGAUACCCUGGUAGUCCAUGCCGUAAACGUUGGGCACUAGGUGUGGGGGACAUUCCACGUUCUCCGCGCCGUAGCUAACGCAUUAAGUGCCCCGCCUGGGGAGUACGGCCGCAAGGCUAAAA
rnacentral:rRNA from 1 species